ACGUAGGUCACAAGCGUUGUCCGGAAUUACUGGGUGUAAAGGGAGCGCAGGCGGGAAGACAAGUUGGAAGUGAAAUCCAUGGGCUCAACCCAUGAACUGCUUUCAAAACUGCUUUUCUUGAGUAGUGCAGAGGUAGGCGGAAUUCCCGGUGUAGCGGUGGAAUGCGUAGAUAUCGGGAGGAACACCAGUGGCGAAGGCGGCCUACUGGGCACCAACUGACGCUGAGGCUCGAAAGUGUGGGCAGCAAACAG
rnacentral:rRNA from 1 species